rnacentral:rRNA from 1 species
AGCCGUACGGCUGCUAACACUGCAGUCGAGCGGACUUGAUGGAGAGCUUGCACUCCCCUAGGCGUAGAGGGGGACGGGGAGAAACACGUUCGCAACCUGCCCUCGAAACGGGGAUAACUACCGGAAACGAUAACUUAUACCGGAUAAUUAAUUUUGGAGGAUUGUGAAAUACCGAAAGGCCUAACGCUCUGGCACUGGACGAUGGCCCUGCGGCGCAUUAGCGAGUUGGGGGCCUACCGGCCCACCAAGGCGACGAUGCGUAGACAACCUGAGAGGGUGAACGGCCACUGUGACACUGACCCACGGCCCACACUCCUACGGGAGGCAGAAUUAGGGAAUCUUCCGCAAUGGCUGAACCCCUGACGGAGCAAGGCCGAGUGAGUGAUGAAGGUUUUCGGAUCGUUUUGCUCUGAUGCCAAGGAAUAACGUUUUCUAGAGUAGCUGAUAAGAGAGCGACGGUACUUGAGAACAACUCCCCGCCUACCUACGUGCCAGCAACCGCGUAAAUACCAAGGGGGAAUCGGUUUUCCGGAAUUAUUGGGGGGAAAGGGCGCGCGGGCGGUACUUUAAGUCUGUCGCUUAAACCCGAUGGUCAAUUUCGUGGCGGACUGCACACUGAGAGAGUGGAGUGCAGAAGAGGAAAUCGAAAUUCCACGUGUAGCGGCGAAAAGCUGAGAUAUGUGAAGGAUCACCAGUGCCGACCGCUACUCUCUGGGCUGCACUUGAGGCUGAGGCGCGGAAGAGUGAACAGCAUACAGGAUUAUAGACCCUGGUACCCCACGCCAUAAACGAUAAAUGCUAGGUGUUAGGGGCCUUCAAUACCCUUGCUGCCGCGUGAAGCACAUCACGUGUGCCGCCCGGGGGAGUACAGUAGCAUAUUGAGACUCGAAGGAGACGCCGACGAACCCGCGCAGAAGUGUAUUAUGUCGAUUAAUCGCGAAACAACGUUAACUACCCUAGCAAUGCCUCGUAAUCCACUCUGAAUCGUCUAAAGAGCUCGAAGGACUACGGGACAGAGGUGACUGCUGUCUGUCGUUGCUCUCUGCUCGAGACUGUGGAAUGUAGUCUACACCCAGCACGACCGUAUCUCUGAAUGUAACUGACAGUACUUCAGGAUGACUGUCUAGAAUGACUCGGCGAGACGAGCGAUGAAUGCGGUCAUGACGUCAUCACUGCUGGCCUUAUCGACUGGACUACUCGCACGUAAUCACAAUGUGCCCACACCCGUAG